UUCCGGUUGAUCCNGCCGGACCUGACUGCUAUCGGAUUGAUACUAAGCCAUGCGAGUCAUUGUAGCAAUACAAGGCAUACGGCACAGUAACGCGUAGUCAACCUACCCUAUGGACGGGAAUAACCUCGGGAAACUGAGUAUAAUGCCCGAUAGAACAUUAUGCCUGGAAUGGUUUAUGUUCCAAAUGAUUUAUCGCCGUAGGAUGGGACUGCGGCCUAUCAGUUUGUUGGUGAGGUAAUGGCCCACCAAGACUAUUACAGGUACGGGCUCUGAGAGGAGUAGCCCGGAGAUGGGUACUGAGACACGGACCCAGGCCCUAUGGGGCGCAGCAGGCGAGAAAACUUUGCAAUGUGCGAAAGCACGACAAGGUUAAUCCGAGUGGUUUCUGCUAAAGGAACCUUUUGUUAGUCCUAGAAACACUAACGAAUAAGGGGUGGGCAAGUUCUGGUGUCAGCCGCCGCGGUAAAACCAGCACCUCAAGUGGUCAGGAUGAUUAUUGGGCCUAAAGCAUCCGUAGCCGGUUCUGUAAGUUUUCGGUUAAAUCUGUACGCUCAACGUACAGGCUGUCGGGAAUACUGCAGAACUAGGGAGUGGGAGAGGUAGACGGUACUCGGGAGGAAGUGGUAAAAUGCUUUGAUCUCUCGAUGACCACCUGUGGCGAAGGCGGUCUACCAGAACACGUCCGACGGUGAGGGAUGAAAGCUGGGGGAGCAAACCGGAUUAGAUACCCGGGUAGUCCCAGCCGUAAACUAUGUAAACUCAGUGAUGCAUUGGCUUGUGGCCAAUGCAGUGUUGCAGGGAAGCCGUUAAGUUUACCGCCUGGGAAGUACGUACGCAAGUAUGAAACUUAAAGGAAUUGGCGGGGGAGCACCACAAGGGGUGAAGCCUGCGGUUCAAUUGGAUUCAACGCCGG
rnacentral:rRNA from 1 species